UAUAAAUAUAAAUUGAAGUGUCGGUGAAAGGUGAAACUGGAUGCUUCCUCCUAGACAGUGUGCGCGACAACAAACGAUUGAAUUCGUCGUCUUUGCCGAAACUUUUGUGAAAGGAUCUUGGUUUACCUCCUUUCAAGGUUCAACUUGUGCAUGAAUUGAAGCAACAUGAUCAUUGUUUGGGCAGUAUUUUUUUCUAAAUGGGCUUAAGGAAUUACUGUCAUUGCAUCACAAUUUCGUUUAAACGUUUUGUUGAUUGAUGAAGCACUGGAGGGGACAAUAAUCCACAAAUCAUUUUCGAACAUUACGACAUCAAGAAAAAAUCCCCGGUUGGUGCGCGUCCGCAGUAAUCUAAUAGGCAGUACACACAUUAAAAAGUAUGGACAGGCGAGCGUAUUAGGAAAGCUUAUCCCUUUACAUCACUGGGCCUCAACUAUCGCACAGGUAGAUACUACUAGAUGUUUAGGGAUAGUCCUUACAUUUUAGUAUGGGUAUUACCUAUUAGAUAUAUUGGGGCUAGGACGUUACAAUCAACGGCAUGCGAUUUCAGUAAAACGCCGCCACACAGGGCGAUACGAGUAACUUACUCAAAGAAACCUUUGAAGGACGAUAAAUUCCGCAUGUCUAUGCCGACAAACCAGACGCAAAUGAGCACUUGGAAGCCAAC